AUCAACCCCACUUGGGCAGUUUGAGCCCAACACCUUGGGACCGACAGCGGGGGAUCUAACGACAAAACAACACUGAGAUUAACCACGCCGUGAAACCGUCACAGUGUCAGCACUUUAGCCUGCGAGCUGCAGAACUUCCACUGCCCCGGAUCCAAAGAGCCAGCCCAACGUUUGCUGGAGUGACCUGCCAGCAUGAGUCAUCAGAAACUACUCCACAGCUUUAUUCAGGGUCCAAGUACUUGAGCUUAGGGUGACUCAGCGGAAAAGCAUCUUUGUGCUGGGUCUGGGAAUCUGCCACCAGAACUAGUGUUCUGUUAGCCUCUGAACUCCUGGCUGACAUCAGUAUAACCCGACUGGCGUCGAGACACAUUUCAAAACAGCAGCUCGAGAACUGUCCUCACCUGUGAUGAGCCACCGUUGAUACCAAAAUUUUAAAGCAGAAGGGACCGUUCUGAGGGCCCAGUCUGACCUCCUGGACAACAGACCAGAGAACUCACCCAAUCAUUCCUGCACCAUUUCUGGCUGAGCUAGAGUGUCUCUUUUCGAAAGAUACCCAAUCUCGACCGAAAGACUGCAAGCGAUGGAGAAACUACCACAUUCCUCGUGCAUUCAAAGAGACAAAGGAAAGAUCGCCCUUCCAAAGGCGGCAGAAAGCUGGGACCCAACAUCCGGCAAGAUUUACUUGUGUGAUUGGUUUUAUGCAUGUUCCCAGGCCCAACCUCUGCUCUGACACAUGUUGGGAUCCUUUGGAAAACUCAUGCCACCCCGUAUAAGGGAGGAAUUAUUAUCCUCAUUUUAUUGAUCUGCAAAUUUUGAGGCACACGUAAGUUGAGCCAGUAGUAGAGUGAGGAAGAGAACCCAGGAGUCCUGACUACGUGCCCCAUAUAUACGCUGCACAAUCCUAACAACACUCCAAUAGAUUCUCAACCAAGGCUGCAAACCGUGGUCAGGGUUUGCAACCACCCUGCCCUUUCCAAUAUUGCUAAGAGGAAGGGGGAUGCCAGCUAGACGAGAGAGGUUGUAGAGAGGUCCCAGUGUAGAAAGGGAGGAGAAUCAGUGCCCUAACAUACAGUACUGUAUUUUGGUAGGCACAUGAUUCUGGUGAUGCAAUUAGUUUUUCUUCUAUACUGUAUGGUUUAAGUGUAACACUGCAAAGGUGUCAAAUGAAUAGAAUUCAGGGAAGUGUCACAAAAGGGCUAGCUACCCAAACGCCCUUUACAAUAGUAACCUGGACGUAAGUCAUUAGUAUUAAUCAGAUAAGUAGCCAGGUUAAACCAGUGAGGAAAUUCAUCAUUCACCUCAGGCAACCUCCAUGCAAUUGUAAGCCGGGGGAAUAGUCCUGCUAUUGUGGAGAACUUUCCUGGCUUCUGCACG